rnacentral:rRNA from 1 species
UACGUAGGGUGCGAGCGUUGUCCGGAAUUAUUGGGCGUAAAGAGCUCGUAGGCGGUUUGUUGCGUCGACUGUGAAAACCUGGGGCUUAACUCUGGGCUUGCAGUCGAUACGGGCAGACUUGAGUUCGGUAGGGGAGACUGGAAUUCCUGGUGUAGCGGUGAAAUGCGCAGAUAUCAGGAAGAACACCCGUGGCUAAGGCGGCUCUCUAGUACGGUACUGACGCUGAGACGCGAAAGCGUGGGGAGCGAACAGG